GGGCAAGUCCUAUACAGCGUUUGGCUACUUAACCAUGUCAGGUCCGAAAGGAAGCAGCAUCCAGUCAGUUCAAGCGCGUGAUAUAGUCCGCUUGCCCUUU
rfam:Chlorobium sp. GBChlB GB_Chlorobi_Contig_1539, whole genome shotgun sequence.